rnacentral:rRNA from 1 species
GAUGAACGCUGGCGGCGUGCCUAAUACAUGCCAGUCGAGCGAACGGACGAGAAGCUUGCUUCUCUGAUGUUAGCGGCGGACGGGUGAGUAACACGUGGAUAACCUACCUAUAAGACUGGGAUAACUUCGGGAAACCGGAGCUAAUACCGGAUGAUAUUUUGAACCGCAUGGUUCAAAAGUGAAAGACGGUCUUGCUGUCACUUAUAGAUGGAUCCGCGCUGCAUUAGCUAGUUGGUAAGGUAACGGCUUACCAAGGCAACGAUGCAUAGCCGACCUGAGAGGGUGAUCGGCCACACUGGAACUGAGACACGGUCCAGACUCCUACGGGAGGCAGCAGUAGGGAAUCUUCCGCAAUGGGCGAAAGCCUGACGGAGCAACGCCGCGAGAGUGAUGAAGGUCUUCGGAUCGUAAAACUCUGUUAUUAGGGAAGAACAUAUGUGUAAGUAACUGUGCACAUCUUGACGGUACCUAAUCAGAAAGCCACGGCUAACUACGUG